rnacentral:rRNA from 1 species
AGAGUUUGAUCCUGGCUCAGGAUGAACGCUGGCGGCGUGCCUAACACAUGCAAGUCGAACGGGUGUACAGAAGGGAAGAUUACGGUCGGAAGAUCUGUGCAUGAGUGGCGGACGGGUGAGUAACGCGUUGGCAACCUGGCCUGUACAGGGGGAUAACACUUAGAAAUAGGUGCUAAUACCGCAUAACGGGAGAAGCCGCAUGGCUUUUUCCUGAAAACUCCGGUGGUACAGGAUGGGCCCGCGUCUGAUUAGCCAGUUGGCAGGGUAACGGCCUACCAAAGCGACGAUCAGUAGCCGGCCUGAGAGGGCGGACGGCCACACUGGGACUGAGACACGGCCCAGACUCCUACGGGAGGCAGCAGUGGGGGAUAUUGCACAAUGGGGGGAACCCUGAUGCAGCGACGCCGCGUGGGUGAAGAAGCGCCUCGGCGCGUAAAGCCCUGUCAGCAGGGAAGAAAAUGACGGUACCUGAAGAAGAAGCCCCGGCUAACUACGUGCCAGCAGCCGCGGUAAUACGUAGGGGGCAAGCGUUAUCCGGAUUUACUGGGUGUAAAGGGGGCGCAGACGGCGAUGCAAGCCAGGAGUGAAAGCCCGGGGCCCAACCCCGGGACUGCUCUUGGAACUGCGUGGCUGGAGUGCAGGAGGGGCAGGCGGAAUUCCUGGUGUAGCGGUGAAAUGCGUAGAUAUCAGGAGGAACACCGGUGGCGAAGGCGGCCUGCUGGCCUGUUGCUGACGCUGAGGCACGAAAGCGUGGGGAGCAAAUAGGAUUAGAUACCCUAGUAGUCCACGCCGUAAACGAUGAGGACCAAGUGUUGGGGGUGAAACCUCAGUGCUGAAGUUAACGCAGUGAGUCCUCCGCCUGGGGAGUAUGCACGCAAGUGUGAAACUCAAAGGAAUUGACGGGGGCCCGCACAAGCGGUGGAGUAUGUGGUUUAAUUCGAAGCAACGCGAAGAACCUUACCAGGCCUUGACAUGGGAUGCGAAGAUGCAGAGAUGCAUCGGAGGUCAACAUCCACACAGGUGGUGCAUGGUUGUCGUCAGCUCGUGUCGUGAGAUGUUGGGUCAAGUCCCGCAACGAGCGCAACCCUUGUGGCAUGUUGCUAACAGGAAAAGCUGAGGACUCAUGCCAGACUGCCGGUGACAAACCGGAGGAAGGCGGGGAUGACGUCAAAUCAUCAUGCCCCUUAUGGCCUGGGCUACACACGUACUACAAUGGCGGCUACAAAGAGCAGCGAGACAGGGAUGUCGAGCGAAUCUCAUAAAAGCCGUCCCAGUUCGGAUUGGAGGCUGCAACCCGCCUCCAUGAAGUUGGAAUCGCUAGUAAUCGCGGAUCAGCAUGCCGCGGUGAAUACGUUCCCGGGCCUUGCACUCACCGCCCGUCA